UGGAAGCUUUAAGAAGUAGGGCAUUGCUUGGGGAGGUAUGUCACUGCUUGUGUGUUUUCAUUAUAGCCUGAACCUACUUCUUGUUUUUUUUGCUCUGUUUUCUGCAGGAUGAUAAAGGCAUGUAGCUGACACUGAUGAGAUACACUCACUGAGAAAGAUUCAUCUAUAUUCCUGUGUAUUCAAAACCACAGAUGCGCGUCACUGCUGUGAGAGGUGGUAGAAAGUGAAAAGGCGGGCCUGGGCUGAAGGAAGAUCAUUGGGUUGUGCUUGUGGAUGCGACCUUGUCCAUCUGUGGCGCACUUCUCCCCUCCCUAUUCACGGCUGCAAUGAAAUGAGCAAUUUCCAUCGGCCAAGAUUCUCUAUCUCACCCUGACACAGAUGACCAUGAACUGAGACCUCUGGAAAUUGAACAAAAUCAACAGAGUCACGGCUUUGGAGAGAAAUCCGAUGAAUCCCAGCAAAGGGCUGGUGCCUAAGAACUCCUUGCUUAGAAGACCAGAGCUAAAAACAGCUAUUACUCAGGCCGCUUGUAUAAAUAACAAAUGUCUUCUGAGUAGACAUCACGUGGUCCAAUGUGUCAUGAUGCAUCUGAGAGAAUGGAUACAGAGAUUGUGGGACUGGCGAAAAUCCAUAGGAAAAACAGACUUCUAUUAAACAUUACAAGAGCAUAGUUAACUGGAUGGUUUUGAAUGUUGGUGAAGGCAGUGGUACACUGAACAAAAAGAGGCAUUUGAUAAAAUGGCUGAAAUGAAAGAAGAACAAGAUUUAUUCUGUUAUUCUAUUAUUUUAAUGCUGCUUCAAGCUUUCCAAAAUAAAAAGGAAGAUUUAUCUUCAUUCUUAUCAUCUCAUCUUGUAACAGUACAGCAUAAAUCUUGCUGAAGUCAAAAUGCAUUAUUUCAAAAACAUCCAAAGUCUUUCAAAUUGGAAGUGAGCACUGAAAUAUUAAGAAGAGAUGUGUUCCAGUUUGGGACUGAGCACUUUGUACACUCUCAUUCCCUGCAAGCUGACCAGCUGAGGGUCUCUGCAUUAAUUGCCAUCUAUUUCAAGGAGAAGCUUCUCUGAUGAGAGAUGUGCUGAUCUAUGGUCACAUCAAUAAAUCAUUGGAAGCUGUUUGGCUAUUCCAUUUAGCAGAAUCAGAGCAUUGGGUUCUUUCCUGGGGCCUAUGACCUAUCUAGUCAUGGGCUCCUGGGCCCUUUAACAGCAACAGCCAGAGGUGGCUGAAAACCAUGUUAUUCAGCCAGAUGUGGUGGCAAACAGUGUUAUCCAGGUACAAGAGAAGAGUUGGACAUACGAACUCCAAGCAGUUGUGACAGAAUGAACAGGACCUGGGCAAGCUCCAGUCAGAUAAAAUCCCAGCAUAGGAAAGGUGCACACAAUUAUUAAAUUUGGAUAGCUACUGGGAGAGGGAGAGUCUGCCUUCUUCAACAAUUUAACCCAAACGCCACAAAAGGUUACCCACACACCAUGGUACAUCUCACUCCCAAAACUAGCUGGGUAACAUAAACUCUCAAAGAGGAAAUCACAAAAUUUAGUGGAACGGAUAGGAGGAAGAGGGCAGUUAUGGAAGGAGUUGAGGGAGGGGGUUAGAUAUGUUUAAAAUACAUUGUUUGAUUUUCUCGAAGAAUUAAUAAAACUAUUGCUUAAAAUUAAGGAAAAUAACUAGAUUAUAUCUCAGUAGUGGAGCACUUCCACAGUAUAUAAAAAAUUGAUAUGUAAUACCCCCUACCUUGAAAUCCAACAAUCAAUAGAUUUUUGAACAUUGCCAAGAUCUCCAUUAUCUUUGUUUCCCAAUAUGGCUGUGACUUUAUAACAUAUAUCAGUAUUGUCUUAGAAAAAAAACAGGACUUCCAAAUAAGAUGGCAGAUCGUGAGUUGCCUCUAUGUGACAUGGUGAAAGAGAAAAGUUAGGAUAUGAAAGAAUCAACUCUAUCCUAAAGAAAGACAGAGAAGAAAAGGGAAUGAUAGGAAGUAUGAUAGGUGUGGAGACCCAAAAGAAUAUCAGCCAAAGGAACCCAUGAAGCCCCAGUUGUGUAGACAGGGGUGAGAAAAGAAAUGUCACCUAAAAUAGAAGCUAUGUGGCCUUAGUGAAGGUAGAGAGAGUGUCCUACCUCUAGAAUGACACAUGCUCCUAUAAGCCUCAAAUCAUGGUUUGGGUUUAGAUGCAAUGGAAGUGCCUUAGACAGAGAUCUGUGACCAAUCGCCACCUUGAGACAAAGCCUGCUCUUUAAAACUGAGCUAUUCUGGGGACCUGAGAACAGGGAGCCAUCACUCCUGCCAUAGCUUUAUAUGAGAGACAGAGAAAUAGGAAGGCAAUACAGAUGACAGGAGCAUCAACUCAGGUGUUGAAGUGUAUAGAGAAAGAGAGCCCACCCUUGAUGGCUAAGGAGCUGACAUUCUCACCUAAGUAUACUUUUGGCAUUUGAUAACCCUUAGCCUGAGAUCACUGGUUCAAUAAACCUCUGGAGGCACUUCACAUUGUCAUAGAGGCUGAGACACUUUAGGCUUCACAGAGACAUCAUCUCUCUGGCCUCCACAUAUGUACACAUGAGACAGU